GGGGGUGUGGAUCAAUGGUAGAGCAUUCGCCUAGCAUGUGAAAGGCACUGGGUUCGGACCUCAGCACCAAGA
rnacentral:tRNA from 1 species